AAGCCGGACGGACUACUUCCGACUUCUGGUAAUGGCACUGGAAGAAUUCACGGGGAAUAAAAACGCCCGUGAUUCCCCGGUGCCAUCCCCAGCGGUCGGGCCAUCAUCAAAUGGAUACG
rnacentral:pre_miRNA from 12 species